rnacentral:rRNA from 1 species
AUGUCCAUGUCAUGGGCACGGGACUCGUCGAUGGUCAAGGUGCAAUGCAUCGGCGAGGGUGGCACAGAGGGGAAGGGUCCGGCGGAGGAUGAGGGCCGCGCCGGCAGUGUCCUCCAUUGGGAUGUCGUCGUCCUCCGGCUGCCUGCCGGCCAGCCGCCAGCAAUGGCGGCCAUCUCCUUCGUCUGGUUCGACGUCAACUCGUCCCAGAGAAGCGGGUGGCGCGGGAGGAGACGCCUCGACAACCGUGUGCCAUCAAUGCGGGCGGCAGACAGACGGACGGGAAGGUCGUCAUAUCAACGCAGUCGCUUGCACCGGGAAACGGCGCGGGAGGCGCUCUCUCGGUCGGCGUGCCGCUUCUACCACCAUCUUUGGUCACAUCUGCGUGUGCAUGACAAUCAUAUUACCUCCACCAGGCACUACACAUCCACACUUUUCGGGCCUCUUGUACCACCAUCUCAGCUUCUGAGGAGACAACCAGAGCACUAG